CCGGCGCCGUCCCAGCCCAUUGGGCGAGGCCGCGGCGCUGCCCCGCCCCCGGCGCUAUCGGUUGGGGCGAGCCGAGAGUAAAUAGACGCCGGAGCCCAAGAUGGCGGAGCCGCCCAGUCCCGGUCGUGGCGCGGCGCCUCCCGAGUCGGAGCUGCUCGGCGCCAGGACGGCCCCGGACGCGAAAGGUUCCCGCGGAUCCCAGCCAGCCGCCAAGAAGGUGAAGGGAGCCGAGGAGCGGAGCAUGAAGGGCGCUAAGCGCGUCAACGGUGAAGGGGGCGGCGGUGGCGGGAGCGCCAAGCAGCCGCUGCCCGCGGUCGUGCCCAGCUACAGCGGCCCCGGGCCGUGGGGCUUCGCCGCGCUGCCCUCGGGCCCCUCGGCGGGCGCGGGGGGCUUUGCGUUCUCUUCCCCGCUGGCCCGGAAGCUGCUGCCGCCCGCCGUGCUGCUGCCGCCGUCCGCCUCCCCCUCCUCGUCCCAGGCGCAGCACCAGCACCGCCACCACCGGCACCGCCUGGCGCUGGCGGCCGAGGCGGGAGGCGGCGGCAGCGCCAAGCCCAAGAGACCCAAGGAAAAGCGGGACAAGGAGAGGAGGAAGCACGGGGCGCUGCCCGUGGUGGCGGCGGCGGGAGAUGGCGGCGGGGCCCUGAAGCGGGAGGAGAACGGCGAGGUGAAGCUGCUGUUCCCGAAAGGUCAAAUCAAAGACAAAGUUAAAGAAAGGGAAAAGAAGCAGAAAGAAAAGAAGAAGCACAAAAUAAUGAAUGAAAUCAAGAAAGAAAAUGGAGAGAUCAAAUUGCUGCAGAAAGGUAGGUUAAAACUAUGUAGUGUUUUUUCAUUCUAGUACUAGAAGUAUUUGUGAUUGGAUUCUGUGUUUUAAUACUAUGGUUUUCAUUUGACUUAUACCAUUCUUCCUGGUUAGUUGGUGCAAGAGUUGCAAAUGUACACCUGAUAUAGGUGUUAUUUUUUUUGUCAGCUGUGCUAGGUACUGGAAAUUAAAGAUAAAACUAUCAUCAGUGUUGCAUAUGUAAUAGUGGUAAUAGGAAGGACCAAGGAACAAUAGUAGUGAUUCUUCAAUAACUG
rnacentral:lncRNA from 1 species